UUGAAUCAGUCAAAUGAGAAUGAUACAAUGACAAAAUGAAAUAGAGCAAAUUGAGUUGAAUUGAAUUAUAGAUACAACACGGUGGUGUCAGUUGCCACUUGUUUUGCAGUCACUGACCACCUCAUUGACCACCUACAGCAUGGAUAGGCAACCCUGUUCCUGGAUUAUUGCAGGUGUAGCACUUCACUCAUCGUUUAAAAACAAGAAAUGGACAGUGACGGGGGAACAUGCUCGCAUGGCUUGUGCUGAUUAUUCACUUCUUGCUACAGUUCCAGAUGGAC